rnacentral:rRNA from 1 species
GACGAACGCUGGCGGCGUGCCUAAUACAUGCAAGUUGAGCGCUGAAGGUUGGUACUUGUACCAACUGGAUGAGCAGCGAACGGGUGAGUAACGCGUGGGGAAUCUGCCUUUGAGCGGGGGACAACAUUUGGAAACGAAUGCUAAUGCCGCAUAAAAACUUUAAACACAAGUUUUAAGUUUGAAAGAUGCAAUUGCAUCACUCAAAGAUGAUCCCGCGUUGUAUUAGCUAGUUGGUGAGGUAAAGGCUCACCAAGGCGAUGAUACAUAGCCGACCUGAGAGGGUGAUCGGCAACAUUGGGACUGAGACACGGCCCAAACAACGACGGGAGGCAGCAGUAGGGAAUCUUCGGGAAUGGUCGAAAGUCUGACCGAGCAACGCGGCGUGAGUGAAGUAGGUUUGCGGAUCGUAAAACUCUGUUGGUAGAAAAGAACGUUGGUGAGAGUGGAAAGCUCAUCAAGUGACGGUAACUACCCAGAAAGGGACGGCUAACUACG